rfam:Aeromonas sp. RT39B genome assembly, contig: Ga0136726_111
UUGGUUGACCGCCACGUAUCCGCUCACGGGCUUUGUGGUGGUCGUAAUCUACUUUUGUAGGAGUGAAUAGUGGCCCGUAUAGCUGGCAUUAACAUUCCUGAC